AUGUCCUAAUCGCUUCUGGUGUGGGUGAACAAAAUCAUUUUGCGGGCGAUGGUUAAUAAAAUAUGCAUUAAUACAUUUUGAUUGUGACGUGUGGAUUGUUACAAAAUGGGAUGAUGCACUUUGUUGCGCAUCAAAUAGUGUUAUUUGACGUGUAUCUUUUUUGACACGCAAAGACCCAAACGGCGUAUCAUAUUCCAUACACUUGUUUCCAAAAUGCAUAGGAGAGUGAAAUAUUUUUCUUCGACGUCAUCAUCACUUUUUUUUUUCGGUCCAACUAUAAUCUGCAAUGGUGCUGGGCGAAGCACACUCGUGUUGUAAAGCUCUUGCCUAGUUGCCUAAACAUAAUAAGCCUGUUUUGACCGACGCAACAACGGCUGAAAGAUGAGACUCACACUUUUGUUGUGUUUCUUCAGUUUUAUUUGGUUGGCUGACUGUGCACCACCGACAUGCUAUUCCCGAGUGCUCGGCUUGAGCAAGGAAAUAAUGGGCCUUUUGGAAAAACUAUACAAUUAUCAUCGCACGACAAUCAAAUGGUACUUUCAAGCAACCACAAAAAGCUGUGGUCACGGGACAAAGAUUUACAUCCUAAAUCAUUACUCAGCCCAAGUCAUUCUAAAUGGAGAAAGAAGUUAAGUGUGCAAGCAAUGUCUGCCCACAGUACUAGUACAAUCUGUUAGUGUAAUUUUAAAGGAUUAACUAUUCAUACAUUUUUGGGGGGCUUAGUGGCAAGCAUGUAAAAUUAUUUAUUUCAGGUGAACUUCAGCAACUACAAUGCUGUCAUGAGUUUCUUGAAUGUGAACCAGAACCACAUCCAGGUUCAUUUAUCUGCAUGAACCAUCAGGCCAAGUGUUUUUGGUUGACCCUGCUGGACAGAAAGAGGAGGAAUCGGAACACGCUGCAUUCAAAUUCAGAGAAUACUUCAAAAUGAGAAGAUCCUGCCAUGGAAAAGACAACUGGGUGGACAUAAAGUGGAAAGGAGGGGAAAUAACUCACACCAUGCAGCAGGACACCUUCAGCUGCGUGGUCUUUGUAAUGCAGAGUUCAACAAAGCCAACAACUGCUUCAUGUGUGCUGAUAAAGAUAAAGAACCUGGAUGUGGCCCAAAGACUGAAUGGAUUGAAUGUUUUGCAUGCCAACGGUGGUUCCAUGUGCUGUGCCUAAGAAUGAAGACAAAAGAGUUCAACAGAGUAAAGAACACAAACUGGAAGUGCAGUCUUUGUUGUUGAAAAUGUAUGCUAUACCCCAUCCACACUGAAGAGGUUCUGACAUGUACAUCAACCAGGAAUAAAGAGAAAGUUAACACUGUGAAAUGUUUCAUACUUAUUUGAAGUAAAGUGUCACUUGACAUGUUGGAAAAGAUUAAAGGUCUACAAUUUCU